GCGGAGACAACAUCUGCCGAAUACUCGUAAUAUAUACCAAUCAUAUCACGGGGGAAUCAUUAAUUGUUAGAGAGAUAAAUUACAAUCAGAUUGGUUUAUGUUAUAUCUGAAAGAUCGAAUUUCUGGAAACGAUCAGUUGAAAUUUGCCUAUACACCUACUGGAAACUUCUGCCAUCGAGACUUUCAUCACGCUGUUAACAGUUUGCCUUUGGAUGCGUUUGUACCUGAGAUCGAUGAAUCGGGAGCCAUGUCUUGCGG